rnacentral:rRNA from 1 species
AACGGCCACACAGUGUUGGCAACACCGGCUCUCGUCCGAUUACUGAAAUUAAGCAAUAUUGUGCGUGGUUAGUUCUUGGAUGGGUGACCGCUUGGGAACACCACGUGCUGUUA